UACGUAGGGUGCAAGCGUUUAAUCGGAAUACUGGGCGUAAAGCGUGCGCAGGCGGUGAUGUAAGACAGGUGUGAAAUCCCCGGGCUUAACCUGGGAACUGCAUUUGUGACUGCAUCGCUGGAGUGCGGCAGAGGGGGAUGGAAUUCCGCGUGUAGCAGUGAAAUGCGUAGAUAUGCGGAGGAACACCGAUGGCGAAGGCAAUCCCCUGGGCCUGCACUGACGCUCAUGCACGAAAGCGUGGGGAGCAAACAGG
rnacentral:rRNA from 1 species